UUCCAGAUGACAUUUCUCGACACACCUUGGAUGAGAAGGGAACCAGCUACCUUGAAGGGAAGGAUCCAGUCCUGGCAGGCUCUAUCACCUGCUGACUCGAGAGCCGUUGGGCCCUCAAUAACCAGCAGCGAUGCCAGGUACUACAUGCUAUUGGCCUUCGGUGAGACUCUGAGACAUGCUGUCUUCAGCUCAGGUACCAGCUCAGACACAGUGGAGAAGAAGUGGGAUUUUGGAAUCCCUGAUGCCAGAUCUUGGCUCUAGGAUGGCAUUUCUGGAUCUUCCCUGGGCCAGAAGGGAGCCCACUGCCCUGAAGGGUGACAGUGUGUGGAUUAAGGACUGGAACGUAGCUCCCUUAGGGCCACGGUGAAAGGGACCCCAGACCGUUAUCCUAACCACUCCCACGGCUGUGAAGGUAGAAGGAAUUCCGGCCUGGAUUCACCACGGCGGCGUACAGCCCGCAGCCACUGGAACCCGGGAGGCCAAACCAAGCCUAGACAAUCCCUGCAAAGUAACCCUGAGGUGGACAAGCCCUGCUCCAGUCACACCCGGAAGCUGACUGGCCUAUGCGCGGCCGAAGCAUGAGGAAAAUCGUCGUGGGACUUACUUUCCUUAUAACAUGGACUUGUGUGGUAAAAGUGUCCACUGCUUCUUCCCACUCAGAGGACUGCUUUCAGUGCAUACAUCGGGUCACUGAGGUAGGACAAUAAGUUAAGACAAUCUUUUUGUUCUAUAGUUAUUAUGAAUGCCUAGGAGUUCCAAAAGGAACAUGUUUGUAUAAUAACACUCAGUACAAAGUCUAUGAUCCAGGAAGUGACCAGCCCGAUGUGUGCUAUGACCCCUCUGAACCUCCCAUUUCCACAGUUUUUGAAAUAAGAUUAAGGACUGAAGACUGGCGGGGACUCAUAAAUGAUACAAGUAAAGUGUUAGCCAGAACAGAAGAAAAAGGGGUGCCCAAACGCAUCAUCUUAAAAUUUGACGCUUGUGCUGUCAUUAAUAGCAAUAAGUUAGGAGCAGGAUGUGGCUCUUUUAAUUAGGAAAAAAACUACAUGACUGAAAAUAAGUACAUCUGUCAUGAAUCAGGACUGUGUGGAAAAGAAUGUGGGUACUGGUCUUGUGUCAUUUAGGCUACUUGGGAUAAAACAAUGAAAAAGAUCCUGUUUGGCUCCAAAAAGGGAAAGGAAGCCCAUCCUACAUGAGUGGAAGCUGCAACCCUUUAAAAUUAGUAAUCACAAGCCCCUCAGACCCAAAAUAGAAAAAAGGAAAAUACUUAUCUCUAGGCAUUAAUGGAAAAAGACUAGAUCCUAGGGUAAACAUUUUAAUAAAAGGAGAGAUUCAAAAAUGCUCUCUAGAGCCAGUAUUUCAGACUUUCUAUGAUGAACUAAAUGUGCCAGUACCUGAAAUUCCAGGAAAAACUAGACAUUUGUUUUUGCAAUUAGCUGAGCAUGUAGCCCAGUCUCUAAAAGUCACUUCGUGUUAUGUUUGUGGAGGAACUGUAACAGGAGAUCAAUGGCCAUGGGAAGCCCGAGAAUUAGUUCCUACAGACCCAGUUCCUGAUGAAUUCCCGGCCCAAAAGAACCACCCUGACAAUUUCUGGGGUCUAAAAGCCUCAAUUAUUGGACAAUAUUGCAUAGCUAGAGAAGGAAAAGAAUUCACUCAUCCUAUAGGACACGUUAGUUGUCUUGGACAAAAACUGUAUAAUCGUACCACAAAAACAGUUACAUGGUGGAGUUCCAAUUACACAGAAAAAAAUCCAUUCCGUAAAUUUCCAAAAUUGCAGACUGUUUAGGCCCGCCCAAAAUUCCACUGGGACUGGACUGCCCCCACUGGGUUAUACUGGAUAUGUGGACAUAGAGCUUAUGCUAAGCUAUCUGAUCAGUGGACAGGUAGCUGUGUAAUUGGCACUAUUAAACCAUCUUUCUUCCUACUGCCCAUAAAAACAGGCAAACUCUUAGGAUUCCCUGUCUAUGCUUCCCGUGAAAAACAAAGCAUAGCCAUAGGUAACUGGAAAGAUGAUGAUGGCCCCCUGAAAGAAUUAUACAAUACUAUGGGCCCACCACUUGGGCACAAGAUGGCUCAUAGGGAUCUCGGACCCCCAUCUA